CUUCUGCCUGCCCCUCGCUCACCCCGAAGCUGUGGCUGUGAGGAGGCAGCUUCUGGCUCUUGUCUCUCUGCUGGUUGACUGGACAAUCAGUCAGGGGAUCAAGCAGUGCAGAGUCUGAAUCCUGAGCUGAAGUUCCCGAGGAGCUAUAUGCAUCAUCCUAAUGCUGAAGACCUUCCCAGAAAAAAACAACACUGCAACAAUUGGAGUAAAGUGUCAGAAGUAAACUAGUCUCAAAGUACAUCAUAUAAUCAGGUUAGGGAUUUAAAUACAGAAGCAAACAAGAAAUGUAUCACAAAACAAGCAGUACUCAGUAAGACGGAGUAUUCAACAUAUUUUUUUUCCUGAACAAUCUUUUUCUGCUGAGUAAAUGAUUGAUUAGUACAAUCAGUGAUUUCAUUCACCUAAAGGGAAAAAGAGGGAUUGACAGAGCUGACAGACUUCCUAGGAAAGAUAUGACAUAUUAAGAUGUAGCUGGAACUAACUACUUUGGAAACCAGAAACUGAAGACACUUCUGUUCAAGCAAAUAUUUAAGUCUUUAUCACAGUAAUGAUCACAAGAAGUUGGACACUGUGGAUACUCUACAGUUAUCCCCCCCCCCUUUUUUUAGCUCAGAAACUUCAGUGGGUGCAGUGACAUUUAUGAAAUGAAUAUACAGCCAUUCAAUGGUAAGAAAUUGGUGUGCUGGAAUUUUUCAAUUGAAUGGUGAUAAGGAAUGUUAAGGAGACAAGGCUGACAAUGUUCUGGUA